UAUUUAGAUGUCGAUAUGACUCCUCAAGUAACACCUGUUGAAGUGCUUUCAGUUUUUAGAACUGAUAAUUUGAGCGAAUCUAUAAGAAAUAUCGAUACGACUUCAAAUAUACUUGGUAAGAGGGAAAAAUGUAUUUAAUAUAUACAGAAUUUGUUAUUUAGAUAUAUUUUUUCCUACAU